GUAAUUUGAUAGGCCGAUGGUUGGACAACAGCAAGAGACCAAGAGACAAAAAAGUGAGGACAGGCAAACCAAAGUUGGCGUGCUCACUGAGGUCAACAUCUCAAAUAUCAAGGCUCUGAUUUUGCUCAACCACGACUGAUGGGUGGUCACAUGACACCAGAUUCCAUGCGAAAAGUCUCAAUACGUAACAUCUUCAACUCAUGAGAAUCCCUCAUCUAUGAUCCACCAAAAUAGAGGAGACACCAAACGGCAUGAAACGCCUCAAAUCUCUUCAUUGGGAGCCUGCAGAGCCAUUUGCAAUCUGUGGCAGGUGCACACAAGAUCCCAGCAAACCACCUGUCUCUGCCAUCAAGUACUGUUUGCCUAACCCCAGGUGGAGUUUGUACAGCCUAAACAGGACCCUUCAGUCGCCCCAGACCCUCAGAUCUGGAAUGAAGCAAGUGAUAUUCCUGAGACUGCCUAAGAACAUUUGAUUUCUGGAGGCAACAAUAUUUGUUUUGGUACCUUCUUAAUGUAACAAAAUGCCAUAACGUGUUCUUAAGGACUUCAUAAAUAAAACAGGAUCUGCCCUAUAA